rnacentral:ncRNA from 1 species
AAACGUUUUGGUCCUAGACUUACUACUAUUUAUAAACAAGCUUAUACAUGCAAGCCUCAACACUCCCGUGAGAUACGCCUACAAAACAAAAUGUAAACAGAGCAGACAUCAGGGGCAGCCCCCUAAGACGCCAAGCUUCGCCACAUCCACACGGACAUGCAGCAGUAAUUAACAUUUAACAAUGAGCCAAGCUCGAUUAAGCUAUGAUUAGAUAGAGUCGGCAAAUCUCUGUGCCAGCCGCCGCGGUUAUACAGAAGACUCAAAAUAGCAGAACCGGCAAAAAAAUGACUAAAAUUCUCUUUUAAGCCUAACAAAUAAGAAGAACACAAAAUCGAACCGUCAAACAGCACCUACAACAAACCCAAAAUAAUCUUAUAUUAAGGACAUUUGACUCAUAAAAACCAGGAAACAAACUGGGAUUAGAUACCCCACUAUGCCUGGAAAUAAACAUUACUUGCCAAAAAAGUACAAAUACAAACUCAAAACUUAAAAGACCUGGCGGUGUCCAAAACCAACCUAGAGGAGCUUGUUAUAUAAUCGAUGAUCCACGUUAAACCUUACCUACUCUAGCACAAUUCCAGCUUGUAUACCGCCGUCGACAGCCCAUUUUCCAAAAAAUAGAGCAAUUUAAGACCCCCCCCCCUCUAAAACGACAGGUCAAGGCGCAGCCUACGAGAAGGCCAAUAAUGGGCUACAUUACUAAAUAUAACAAAAACUUCACUGAAACACAGUUGCACGAAGAAGAAUUUAGCAGUAAGAAGAAUAAGAGCGUUCUGCUGAACCAGGACAUUGAACACGCACACACCGCCCGUCACCCUCACCAUAGAUCUAAUAGGAGAGGAAAGUCGUAACAUGGUAAGCGUACCAGAAGGUGUGCUUGGAAGCAA